rnacentral:lncRNA from 1 species
CGGUUUCCUCUUUCGUAGGAAGGGGAUGAUGGUAAUCGUCAUACGGCCGGGAUGGUUUCAUCAGCUGGUAAAUACUCACUGGACACAAGGAGCCUCCCCGACACUGAUAAAGCAAGAACCAGGGGAGCCUGCAGGCAGUCUGUGGUUGCAUGAACCUGCUCCGGCUUCGGGACAGACAAGUGGAUUUCCUCUGGAGAUUCAUGGGUGUUGCCCUCUCGCCCCCCUCCACACACACUGGUACCUUCAACUGCUGAUAGAAGAAAGGUUAGUCUCAUUUUAUUAAAAUAAUAAAAAUAGUGUAAUGUAGAAACA